AUUUCCCCAAUGGGUUCUCCGGAUUUCUGGAGACUUGUAGGGGUUGUGGGUAUUUCGAUGUGUCGUCUCCGGACGGGCGGUGCAGGGUAGUCGAGUUGGACUUGGUGGAAUUCGGUUUAUUCGAAUCCGUCGAGUCUGGCUGGCACGAUCGUGUGCGGCUGUGUGCUGGACGGUGUAGGGUAGGCUGCUUGGACAUGGUCGGUUCGAGGAUCGAUUCGAGGGCCGGCCUCUCGAUGAUGUGUGAUGUAUGCGGUCUAGGGUAGGCUGGUUUGUCUUGGUCCAAUUUGAUGUCGGCUCCCGUGCAGACCAGAGUGAGUGUGGUCCAGGGUAGGUCCAGGGUAGGCAGCUUAGAUUUGAUCGAUCUGGAGGUCGAUUCUCCGGGCUGGCGGAUCUGACACUGUCGAAACGAGAUGCGAGCGGUGUAGGGUAGGCCAGUUUUGUCGUCGCCAGGUUGCGAUUCGGACGAGAUAUGUGGUCUAGGGUAGGCCCUAGGGUAAGUAGAGUUCGAGUUUCGUCGCCAACAGUUUGCUGUAUGUGUAGGGUAGGUGCAGGGUAAGCAAAUCUCUCUCUGGCCAGACGGUUUUGCGGUCUGGUGGUCGUGAGUCGAUUUUUUUGUUUU
rnacentral:misc_RNA from 1 species